AGAGUUUGANCAUGGCUCAGGACGAACGCUGGCGGCGUGCUUAACACAUGCAAGUCGAACGGUGANCCAGGGCUUGCCCUGGGAAUCAGUGGCGAACGGGUGAGUAACACGUGGGCAACCUGCCCCAGACUCUGGGAUAACUCCGGGAAACCGGGGCUAAUACCGGAUAUGACCUUUGAAGGCAUCUUCGAAGGUGGAAAGUUUUUCGGUCUGGGAUGGGCCCGCGGCCUAUCAGCUUGUUGGUGGGGUAAUGGCCCACCAAGGCGACGACGGGUAGCCGGCCUGAGAGGGCGACCGGCCACACUGGGACUGUGACACGGCCCAGACUCCUACGGGAGGCAGCAGUGGGGAAUAUUGUGCAAUGGGCGAAAGCCUGACGCAGCGACGCCGCGUGAGGGAUGAAGGCCUUCGGGUUGUAAACCUCUUUCAGCAGGGACGAAGCGAAAGUGACUGUACCUGCAGAAGAAGCACCGGCUAACUACGUGCCAGCAGCCGCGGUAAUACGUAGGGUGCAAGCGUUGUCCGGAAUUAUUGGGCGUAAAGAGCUCGUAGGCGGUUUGUCGCGUCGGAUGUGAAAACUUGGGGCUCAACCCCAAGCCUGCAUUCGAUACGGGCAAACUAGAGUUCGGUAGGGGAGACUGGAAUUCCUGGUGUAGCGGUGAAAUGCGCAGAUAUCAGGAGGAACACCGAUGGCGAAGGCAGGUCUCUGGGCCGAUACUGACGCUGAGGAGCGAAAGCGUGGGGAGCGAACAGGAUUAGAUACCCUGGUAGUCCACGCCGUAAACGGUGGGCGCUAGGUGUGGGGCACAUUCCACGUGUUCUGCGCCGCAGCUAACGCAUUAAGCGCCCCGCCUGGGGAGUACGGCCGCAAGGCUAAAACUCAAAUG
rnacentral:rRNA from 1 species